GAGUGAACAUAACAAACUGGAAUGAUUUUGAUAAUAAAAGCAGCAGUAUAAUGCUGCCGAAAUGGGAUACCGCUUCCCAAAGAGGGCAGGAACUCCCAAGAGCUUCUGCAGCAUUAGCAACCAACACAUUUGCCAAUUCAACAGCAAUAUUAGCCAAUGUAUCAUCGAGUGACAUGUCAGCCAUCACGAUAUCAACCAAUAAGACAUCGGCCAGUGGGACUUCAACCAAUACAACUUUUGCCACAUCAGUCAAUUUGUCCUCAGUCAAAGCAUCAACUGGUACACCGUCAGUAUACAAAGCUCCAAACAAUACGUUUCCCCUCUACAAAUCCUCAAACAAGCCAUCUAUAC